rnacentral:rRNA from 1 species
GUGGGGAUGGAUCACCUCCUUU